GAUGAACGCUAGCGGCAGGCUUAACACAUGCAAGUCGAGGGGUAGAAGUUGCUUGCAACUUUGAGACCGGCGCACGGGUGCGUAACGCGUAUGCAACCUACCUUUUACAGAGGGAUAGCCCAGAGAAAUUUGGAUUAAUACCUCAUAGUAUAUAACCUUCGCAUGUUGGUUAUAUUAAAGUUCCAACGGUAAAAGAUGGGCAUGCGCCCUAUUAGCUAGUUGGUGUGGUAACGGCACACCAAGGCGACGAUAGGUAGGGGUCCUGAGAGGGAGAUCCCCCACACUGGUACUGAGACACGGACCAGACUCCUACGGGAGGCAGCAGUGAGGAAUAUUGGACAAUGGGCGCAAGCCUGAUCCAGCCAUGCCGCGUGCAGGAAGAAGCAUCUAUGGUGUGUAAACUGCUUUUGUACAGGAAGAAACACCCCUUCGUGAAGGGACUUGACGGUACUGUAAGAAUAAGGAUCGGCUAACUCCGUGCCAGCCGCCGCAGUAAUAC
rnacentral:rRNA from 1 species